UUGGUCAGAUGAAGAUAAUGAUGUAAGUAUAUAAAAUAUCCGUAUUAUUGUUAAUAAUAUUAGGAGAGCCCUACAUGGUGGAGCUAGGUCCCCUCCUCAAGGACUUUCUGCCCAGCUGUGAGGAGUGUGGUCAACAGACAGCCUCCAGCAGCCAGCUCUUUGGAGCUGAUCUCAGCUGCUGAGAGCCGCUUGCCUGAGGUCACACGUUUUCCGGGAUGGCCUGCGUUCAGUGACUGAGCAAGGGGGAUAAAAAGGCCAGCCACCUCAGCCAACACAGGACACUGCUGACUGGAAACCCUCGCUCCACAGUUCCCCGCUGGGUCCACGGAGGCUUGCCAGCCAUAGAGUUGUCCUCUGCUGCCAUGAACCCUGGUGUUCCAGAUCCCUGCACAGAUUUCCAGCGCCUCACUCUUAGGACCCCAGGGAACUGCUGUUUGCCUUCACUCACAUACUCUGACAAAGGACCAGUGCUGCGCCAGGGAC
rnacentral:lncRNA from 1 species